UUGACUGCGAGACCUACAAGUCGAGCAGGGUCGAAAGACGGACUUAGUGAUCCGGUGGUUCCGCAUGGAAGGGCCAUCGCUCAACGGAUAAAAGCUACCCCGGGGAUAACAGGCUUAUCUCCCCCAAGAGUUCACAUCGACGGGGAGGUUUGGCACCUCGAUGUCGGCUCAUCGCAUCCUGGGGCUGUAGUCGGUCCCAAGGGUUGGGCUGUUCGCCCAUUAAAGCGGUACGCGAGCUGGGUUCAGAACGUCGUGAGACAGUUCGGUCCCUAUCCGUCGUGGGCGUAGGAAAUUUGAGAGGAGCUGUCCUUAGUACGAGAGGACCGGGAUGGACAUACCUCUGGUGUACCAGUUGUCGUGCCAACGGCAUAGCUGGGUAGCUAUGUGUGGACGGGAUAAGUGCUGAAAGCAUCUAAGCAUGAAGCCCCCCUCAAGAUGAGAUUUCCCAACUUCGGUUAUAAGAUCCCUCAAAGAUGAUGAGGUUAAUAGGUUCGAGGUGGAAGCAUGGUGACAUGUGGAGCUGACGAAUACUAAUCGAUCGAAGACUUAAUCAAAUU
rnacentral:rRNA from 2 species